ACAAGGAGAAGGUGGGCCCAGCAAGCCCGGAGGACACAGGCGCCAGGACUGUCACCCACUCCUGGAGAAAGGUAGGAAGGUGCUGUCUCCGGGGUUGUCAGAAAAGUCCAGAAUCCUCCUGGAGUUGAAGUCUCUCUGGGGGGCCAGGAUGGCGAGGAACCAGAACUCUGGAGCCUGUCACGUUACCCCAACGCUGACUAGUCCCAGUCCCCAGUGAGACACAAGGAGAACGUGGUACAGGUGGUGGCCCGGCUUGGGAUGAGCCGAACAACCCAGACCUGUCUGGCUUUGGGAGUCAGAGGCUCAGCC
rnacentral:lncRNA from 1 species